rnacentral:misc_RNA from 1 species
CCCAACUAUCCCUAUUAAUCAUUACGGUGAUCCUAGAAACCAACAAAAUAGAAUCGGAUGUCCUAUUUCAUUAUUCCAUGCUAAUGUAUUCAAGCGUAAGCUUGCUUUAAACACUCUAAUUUUUUCAAGGUAACAGUCCUAAUUCCCCAUAACACCAAAUAAAUGACAUUAUGGUUCUUUAGAAGGUGAGAACCAAUAAAACCAGUACAUACCGAGGCAUGACCGAUUCCUUGAUCCCGAAAUUCAACUACGAGCUUUUUAACUGCAACAACUUUAAUAUACGCUAUUGGAGCUGGAAUUACCGCGGCUGCUGGCACCAGACUUGCCCUCCAA